rnacentral:tRNA from 1 species
CGAGGUGUGGCGCAGCCUGGUAGCGCGCUUCGUUCGGGACGAAGAGGUCGCUGGUUCGAAUCCAGUCGCCCCGACCA